AGUCCGCGCUGUGUAUUUACUUAAAGAUAAAGUUCCUGCUACAUGUGUUAUUGAGUCAGAGCUUAUUAAAAGACACAAGAAUCUGACGACGGAAAAUCUCGUCAACGGCUAAACUGUUACGGUGAAAGGAAAGUGAGAAAUGGAUAAAAAGACGUUGGUGAAGCGGCGCGCUGCUAAACACUGAAGUUCGAUGGAAAAUGGCCACAUGUCAAGGAAGGCUGCUGAGUUUGAGAGAGUCUUAGUGUCCAACAGAGAAGACCCGGGACUAUGCUGUAAAGGAGAAAAUUACAAGGAGGCCUGGAUCUGGGAAACUUGAAUCUACUAGUGAAUCAGAUGGGCCAUGCCGAUCCAUCUUAAGGCAGUCAGAGCUGCUAAAAUAAUGAAAUUUAAAAAAAAAGAUCUGUCUGCGUCAGUGCAUUAGUGCAGAUGAAGGUGGACAAACAUAUUUUUCCCAUGGAGGAGGUCCAAAAAGUGUACUUCACCUGCAAAUUCAAUGAUGUGGACAAGCUAGGAAAACAAGAGAGCAAUGUAUUGUCCAUUUUGUGGAUUCAGCCUGUAUUCUCAAACAGCGUUCUGCAGUUCAUGUGGCAAGGACAUCCAAUUCUUGUGCCAUGCUGAUAAGCGUGGCACGAGUAAAGACUCUGACGCAGGAAGCACUGGAAAAAGUGUAGUGGAGUCAUUCCACAAUUUCCGGAUUUUAAAAGGGAAAAAAAGCACCACUAAAAGACCCCACUGUGAAGAUUUCAGUAGCCUUUAUGCGAUUGAAGGAUGGAGCACUAAAGCCUGCAAGAGGAUCACUCCUUCCACUUGCAGUGAAACCAACCUUGGAUGCCGAGCAGCUGCACAAAGCUGCUGUACAAAAAAUAAAGGGCUUCAACAAAAA